AGAAUCAACGCUGGCGGCGUGCCUAACACAUGCAAGUCGCACGAGAAAGGGACUUCGGUCCUGAGUAAAGUGGCGCACGGGUGAGUAACACGUGAAUGAUCUACCUCCGAGUGGGGAAUAACUGAGAGAAAUCUUAGCUAAUACCGCAUAAUACCCACGGGUCAAAGCAGCAAUGCGCUUGGAGAGGAGUUCGCGGCCGAUUAGCUAGUUGGCGGGGUAAUGGCCCACCAAGGCGAUGAUCGGUA
rnacentral:rRNA from 1 species